rnacentral:rRNA from 1 species
GAUGAACGCUGGCGGCGUGCCUAAUACAUGCAAGUCGAGCGAACAGACGAGGAGCUUGCUCCUCUGACGUUAGCGGCGGACGGGUGAGUAACACGUGGAUAACCUACCUAUAAGACUGGGAUAACUUCGGGAAACCGGAGCUAAUACCGGAUAAUAUAUUGAACCGCAUUGUUCAAUAGUGAAAUACGGUUUUGCUGUCACUUAUAGAUGGAUCCGCGCCGCAUUAGCUAGUUGGUAAGGUAACGGCUUACCAAGGCAACGAUGCGUAGCCGACCUGAGAGGGUGAUCGGCCACACUGGAACUGAGACACGGUCCAGACUCCUACGGGAGGCAGCAGUAGGGAAUCUUCCGCAAUGGGCGAAAGCUUGACGGAGCAACGCCGCGUGAGUGAUGAAGGUCUUCGGAUCGUAAAACUCUGUUAUUAGGGAAGAACAAAUGUGUAAGUAACUAUGCACGUCUUGACGGUACCUAAUCAGAAAGCCACGGCUAACUACGUG